rnacentral:rRNA from 1 species
GGGGGGGGGGGGGGGGGGGGGGGGGGGGGGGGGGGCGGGCGGGGGGGCGCCUGGUUGCAGGGGGACUCGAGUGGCGAACGGGUGAGUAACACGUGGGGGAGCUGCCCUGCACUUCGGGAUAAGCCUGGGAAACUGGGGCUAAUACCGGAUAGGACGAUGGUUUGGAUGCCAUUGUGGAAAGGUGUUCGGUGUGGGAUGAGCUCGCGGCCUAUCAGCUUGUUGGUGGGGUAAUGGCCUACCAAGGCGUCGACGGGUAGCCGGCCUGAGAGGGUGUACGGCCACAUUGGGACUGAGAUACGGCCCAGACUCCUACGGGAGGCAGCAGUGGGGAAUAUUGCACAAUGGGCGCAAGCCUGAUGCAGCGACGCCGCGUGGGGGAUGACGGCCUUCGGGUUGUAAACUCCUUUCGCUAGGGACGAAGCGCAAGUGACGGUACCUGGAGAAGAAGCACCGGCUAACUACGUG